UACGUAGGUGGCGAGCGUUAUCCGGAAUGAUUGGGCGUAAAGGGUGCGUAGGCGGCCUGCUAAGUCUGGAGUGAAAGGUACCGGCUCAACCGGUACAGGCUCUGGAAAAUGGCGGGCUAGAGAGCAGGAGAGGGCGGUGGAACUCCAUGUGUAGCGGUGAAAUGCGUAGAUAUCAGGAGGAACACCGGCGGCGAAGGCGGCCUGCUGGACCGUGACUGACGUUGAGGCUAGAGAGCGUGGGGAGCAAACAGG
rnacentral:rRNA from 1 species